rnacentral:lncRNA from 13 species
AUGCCUUGUAUACUGUUGUUCAGGUUAGUUAUCAUUGUUUUAGUUCACAAUGGAGCCCCUAGUUCCACUCUUCAUGCCCCUGAUAACUCCUUUGUCCCACCUCCCACACAUGCGGUGACCUCACCCAUUACAACCAGCAUGUCCAGAGAUACAACCUCUCUCAUCAUCACCCAGUGCCUGGGCUUACCUCCGCUGUACCCGCACCCCACCAUACCCCUGUCUGCGCAUUAUGCCCUGAAUAUAUUCUACCAUGCCCAGAAACCUGCUCCUCUUAUUCUCUGUCCCCAACGCUCUAGGCGACCAGUUUUGAUAGCCUUUAGCCGCACUCUCAUACUACUCCUUCUCUGUUCCGCGGGUGAUGUGGAGGUAAACCCAGGCCCUGCAUGUCCCCAGGCACCCUCAUUUGUUGACUUCUGUGAUCGAAAAAGCCUUGGUUUCAUGCAUGUCAACAUCAGAAGCCUCCUCCCUAAGUUUGUUUUACUCACUGCUCUAGCACACUCUGCUAACCCUGAUGUCCUUGCUGUGUCUGAAUCCUGGCUCAGGAAGGCCACCAAAAAUUCAGAGAUUUCCAUACCCAACUAUAACAUCUUCCGUCAAGAUAGAACUGCCAAAGGGGGAGGAGUUGCAGUCUACUGCAGAGAUAGCCUGCAAAGUAAUGUCAUACUUUCCAGGUCCAUACCCAAACAGUUCGAACUACUAAUUUUGAAAAUUACUCUCUCCAGAAAUAAGUCUCUCACUGUUGCCGCCUGCUACCGACCUCCCUCAGCUCCCAGCUGUGCCCGGGACACCAUUUGUGAAUUGAUCGCCCCCCAUCUAGCUUCAGAGUUUGUUCUGUUAGGUGACCUAAACUGGGAUAUGCUUAACACCCCGGCAGUCCUACAAUCUAAGCUAGAUGCCCUCAAUCUCACACAAAUCAUCAAGGAACCCACCAGGUACAACCCUAACUCUGUAAACAAGGGCACCCUCAUAGACGUCAUCCUGACCAACUGGCCCUCCAAAUACACCUCCGCUGUCUUCAACCAGGAUCUCAGCGAUCACUGCCUCAUUGCCUGUAUCCGCUACGGAGCCGCAGUCAAACGACCACCCCUCAUCACUGUCAAACGCUCCCUAAAACACUUCUGUGAGCAGGCCUUCCUAAUCGACCUGGCCCGGGUAUCCUGGAAGGACAUUGACCUCAUCCCGUCAGUUGAGGAUGCCUGGUCAUUCUUUAAAAGUAACUUCCUCACCAUUUUAGAUAAGCAUGCUCCGUUCAAAAAAUGCAGAACUAAGAACAGAUACAGCCCUUGGUUCACCCCAGACCUGACUGCCCUCGACCAGCACAAAAACAUCCUGUGGCGGACUGCAAUAGCAUCGAAUAGUCCCCGUGAUAUGCAACUGUUCAGGGAAGUCCGGAACCAAUACACGCAGUCAGUCAGGAAAGCUAAGGCCAGCUUCUUCAGGCAGAAGUUUGCAUCCUGUAGCUCCAACUCUAAAAAGUUCUGGGACACUGUGAAGUCAAUGGAGAACAAGAGCACCUCCUCCCAGCUGCCCACUGCACUGAGGCUAGGUAACACGGUCACCACCGAUAAAUCCAUGAUUAUCGAAAACUUCAAUAAGCAUUUCUCAACGGCUGGCCAUGCCUUCCGCCUGGCUACUUCAACCUCGGCCAACAGCCCCGCCCCCCCCCGCUGCUCCUCGCCCAAGCCUCUCCAGGUUCUCCUUUACCCAAAUCCAGAUAGCAGAUGUUCUGAAAGAGCUGCAAAACCUGGACCCGUACAAAUCAGCUGGGCUUGA